UUCCUCGUGGCGUUUCAAAUUAAUAUAGAAUAAUGUAUACACUCAACCAACUUUUCCGCGAAUACAGUAAAAGAAUUUAAUAAAAACGUUGAAAUCAGUGCUCAUGAAAUUCUCGCUAUAUCUCGCUUCAGAAUUUAAGAAAUUGACAUCGGUGCGUCAAUGAGUUUCGAUUGCUGCUAAAACAUCAUAUGGUAGCCUCGGGACAUCCCGUGGAGAAGAAGCGGAGGAAGUAAGGCGGGACGGGCAGGAGCGUAAACAAGGAGAAUGCAUCGCGGGGGUGGUAUAACGGGGUACGAGGGUGAGGGGUUGUACUCGUCGCUCAUGCGCGCCUGGAACCCCGCCCUGUCGCUUCGGACCACGGCCUGUCCUAUCGAGGACUCCUCGCCGAGGUGGUCGAAUAGUCACGCUUUAACCCGCGAUCCGCGAGGCGGACGCACUCGCCAGGAACGCGCUGGUGCUCGUACGCGAGAAAAGAAGGAGGAGGAGGAGGAAGAGGAGGCUCCGCGAACAUCUGUCCCGGUCCGCGCCUUCGUCGUGACACGGUUCCCUCCUUGAGAUCGCAGGAUCAACGAGAUCAACCGUGAUCCCGAUCGCGGCAGCCGGUGUGUAUGUGUGUAUGUGUCUUAUAUGUACCUACCAGGAAGGAUCGACGGCGGCGGAUCGAUUGUCGGUACGCAACGGGGAGUCGCGUGUGCGAAAGGAAUUUCGAGACCGCGGAGUGACCGGUGCCGAUGCCAAAUAUUCGAUGCGUGGCAACCAGUUGCGGAUGUGAGCUGGUGUUAAGCGGAACCCAAGUCAAGUGUUGCAGCGAAUCCUUCGGUCCUUCGGUGCAAGAGCCAAGGCAGGAUCGGAGACCGCGUCGAGGCGUCAUUAAGAUUCACCAGCGGAGCCUCGAGUACGGAUUUUAAAUCACGGCGAAUACCUCGCUCUUCACGGUGGAUCGAUCUGGAGCGCGUGGCGGAUCAUCAAAUGUCGCGACCGCUGUUGAUUGCUGUUGAUACCUGGUGAUUUGUAAUGGUUAACGGCGGCUUACAUCCGGACGAAGCGCGUCUUCAUUAGCGAAGAAAAAUGUUGUUGACAAUUGUGACUUCCUCUAGCAUAAUUAUAAUCAGUCCUAAAGCUGGCGAGCAAUCGGUACGUAGAGGAUAGAAACAGUCGCGUCACGCCGACCUGCUUGUCAUAUUAGUUUAACAUACGCGAUAUCGAAUUCCUUUGACUCGAUAUCCGUCGUUCAAAUACCACAACGUGCCGCCUUACUGAUACAAAAAAAAAGAAGAAAAAAAAAUAAGAAAAACAAGAAAACGAACGACAGGCCUAACUUGGGAUCAACAGAUAAAACGAUUUCGAAAAUAGUACGCGAGUUUUCUAAUAGUACGCGUGAGGAAUCACCAAUCUUCUCGACGAUUUUUCAUAUACGUGCGCGGGCUGUUACGCGCGCGCAUUAUCGAAAUGCACGAUUUCCUGCAAAACAUGAGCUGAAAGGGCUGAAAGGUCGUGAUCGAUCGACUCAAUUUGAUAACCCAAAGGAAUCUUAAAACGUGCAAGGUCAUUAUGUAUAGCGAUAAGGUAAGGACUUUCCUCGGCUAAAAAGUCAGAAAGGAAAGAGUCGCGAGAGGUGAGAAGCCGCGGUACGUGGCCUAUCUAUACGCGAUGCCGGGAUUUACAAGUAUUACCUACUUGAGCGAGUAUUUGAAGAUGCAGACGCGGCGAUAAUCGAAUUCAUCGAAUCCUGUUCGCGUAAUGUCGAGCCAAGGCCAUCGCGAGACGUACUUGGAGCUUUACGAAGGGCGCAGCAUCGAUUGCAAGAUCUUACUUCGUGGCGUUCCUCGAGAUCUCGGGAGAGACCCGCGACGAUAGAGCGCUCGUCGACGAAACGAUAACGCCGGGUUGCCCAUUAAGAAUUUAACGCAAGCCACAUUUUCGACGCAAAUUAUAUCCUAGUAUUUUGUAUCGAGGAACCCGUAUCGUCCGAUGCAAUCCCCAUUGGCCUACAUGAUAAAGUCAUCCGACGACCGCCGUACGCCGCACUUCGAGACGCAAACGAGUUAGUAAACGGUCUCGCUCAAUGCUUCCUAGCGAUAGACGGAAACGCCAUCGAGUUCACUUGGUCCCCGGUACCCUACCAGACGAGUCGUCCACGAGAAAGCCGAUGAUCGAUGCGUGUCCUCUCGAUAGUUGAUCCCGGAGGAUCAAGGACCUCCACCCCCGUGUCUGAACCGCAUCUAAAGAAAAGCGAAGCGAUGCUCCCGCCUGUAACUCAGCACGCUCGAUGAAUCGUCGCAGAAUCGAGCAUCGAGCAGCAGCCAGCACCACCCGAAGAGGAAGAAGCCGUAGGAGGAGCUUGGCCGCGUAGCGUCGUCCCGAUCUCGCGAGAGAGAGCCGUCCCGGGUGAUGCGCGGAAGCAGCUCCGAACUCCUGCUGGAGGCGAGCUGCAGCCAGUGUCAGAGCGAGCGGGGACACCAGCGUCGGGACAGCGGCGACGGGUACGACUUCCACGAGCGGGAGCUACGUCGUCGCAAGCUGUUGGAGCUCGGGUUCGGCGCGUCGCGGCGCCGACCGCCACGGCGUACCUGCCGUCAGCGGUUUAAUUUCUACGCCACGUCAGCGCUGGCCUUCGUCGCUACCUCAGGCGGCGCGGCGCUCCUCUUCCUGGUGCCGCUCUACGUCGACCCGGCCAUCAGCACCCUAGCGGCGGACUUCUCGCCGGAGCCGGUCAUCUGCACGACCUCGAGGCGCGAGGACCUCGCCGGCCUCUUCAAUUGCACAUGGAGCUCGUGUCGCGAGGGGUGCACCAGUGACGUGUACAAGUGCACCCACAUAUACGUCACGUACACACCGUGGAGUAACGCCAGUAUGAAGAACGACACCGGCGGCAGGAACAACACCACCGCGAACAUCACAACCACUACUCUGAGCACCGUCACUGCCGUGUCCUCUCCGGGGGACGUCGAGGCUGUGCUGCUGGUGAACAUCAAGGGCUGCGGAUACCCGCCGGUAGUCGACUGCGUGAACUUCACCCGCGAGUUGGGUUACGAGGGCGCGAGGUUUCCCUGCCAUUACAGCCGGGUGAACGGUAGUAUAGUGAUGGCGAACUAUAAUCGCGAGGCACAGGUCGCUACCAUCAUGCACUUCUUCGCGGCGCCUUUCGUAGUGACUCUCGCGACCAGCGUCGCGCUGUGUGUGAUGCACUGUGACUGCAGGUGCACGCCGCCACCGCGACAUCCGCCGCGCGGCAUGAGAAGAUCCAGGGGCAACGACCUCAGCUGCUGCAUGAGUAUAAAAAAUCGAUAACGGGUUAGAAGCGUGCCAGAAGUCGUCCGAUUUAGAAGGUGUAUUUGACGAGGCAAAUAAACUUUCUAAACCAUACGUAAGACAAAGACGACUUAACAAUGAUGUUACUACCACCGUACAUACCAUCGUCAUGAAACGAUACUCUUUCGGCUGCAAAUACUGCCUUAGAAGAAAAGAGCGAAUCGCAGAAACGGAAAUCGGAGAGAGAGAGAUAUCGAUUCAUCAUCUCUCUCUCGUAAUCUCCACUAAUUAACUCCAAAAGGCGCAUUCAUCUCAUUAACGAAACGAGUGCGCCACCGAAAGCCGUGACUGCGCUCUCCGUGCAACGCAAUGAACAUGUAAAAAGAGAUCUCUAAUUAUCGAUGCCGUAAGUAAUUCCGUGCAUUCGGAGUAAUCGACAGGCUCUCACGGACGUUGAUAUGCUGCGUGAAUGAACGAUAGAGCAGCCUCGCGUAACACUCUCGCGCAAUUCAUCAUUCUUCCAAAUGCUCUUUUUUUCCUCCUUCUUCUCUUAAUUUUUCUUCUUGAUUGAGUCGUUGAGCGAAACGUUGAGUCAUAUACAUUACGUAAGUCACAUUUUUCUCAUUAAGGUAAGAGGUAGUUUUGCAAAACUACCUCCUAUAAAAUCCUGUUAAUAUAUUAUAGCAAUUUUUCUAGAUCAAUAGAAUUACCUAACGUAUACUCGAACGGAAUAUUUUAACAAAAACCACUCAAAAUAAUAGUAACGUAUAACUUACGUAAUUAUUGACUUGCCGUAAUUCUUGACCGUUAUUUCGCUCAACCGCUGAACUCUUUCUUCUCUCCGCAUGCCUCUCCCGCACAAAUCAACGUUGCGUCGAAAGAAAAUAAAAGGGACCAGAUAUUGUUGAAUCAAGAAUCUCACGUCAAGAAGCUAUAAUAAUCAGACAGCAAGGAUAGAAAGAAUUACAAGUGUGUUGUUAUUUAUACUCUCGUCUUUUUAUACUCUCUAAACCCUCUAAAAUGCCUCCUCGCACACUUCCGUCGCAAGAAUCGCUGGGAAUGGACCUUGUCGAGUUUCGCGAUACCGCUCUACGAGGGUGAGAUAUUAAUCCACGUCCAGACGGCAGGUGCAAGAGAGAGCUAGAUGCACGAUUGGAAUCGAAGGCUGGCGGUUCUGCUGUUUUUUAAGCAUCGCGGUUCAACGUGACGCGCGAGCCUCGAGGGCUCAUUUCCUCUCCGAGUGCUACCUUGUUAUCUUUCCACUUCCGACCGUUUGUCAUUUCCACGGCGAUGAUAUUAGACGGAAGACUGGAAGAUUGGGGAUGGCGAGGAUGACAGCUAGCAAAUGGCAGCCUGGGCUGUCAUACAUCAGAUUUGGAUCAACCGGCGACCCUGGCGAUGUGAUAGUCUUUCUCUUUCUUCUCUCCUUUCUCUUUCUCUCUUUCUUUGACUCGCCUCUUUUUACUCGUCUCUUCUUUUUCACUUUUCUUGCGGAGGUGCUUUGCCGCCGGACGUAUCGCGUGCGUUUCCACCGCAAACGGUAUUUCCGUUGUCAGGGUUUUUCGCUUUUAUCUCGCCACGAAAAUUGUUACACGAGGCCACGGGAAUUGUUACACAAAUCAUUGUAAACCGUAAUAAUGUAAUUAUGCUUGUCCGACUCUGGGUUUCGGGAUUAUAUAUCUCGGUAGUCGCGUUGUAUCUGAAUGAAACCAACGUGUAUCAUUUCCCGUUUAAUGUUUUCUAUUUAUUUCUGUUUAUCUUGUCGAUGAUUUUCAACAAAAUUGUCGCCGUUCAUUUCCUAUUCUAAGUAGCUUCCUAUUCCUAAGUACGAGUAAUGAUAAGUAAGGCCACCAUGGAAUUUAUGAAGAUUAUAGAGCUAGAAAAAAAAAAGAAAAUACGAAAUAAAAUAUUGUGAGAAACAGUGAAGUCGUAUGGUAUUCCUCAUUCCACGGGAUUUAUGGGAUCAAUUUAAAGUGUAUCUUAUUAAAGCAACGAUUUUGCAUGCUGUUUGAUCUCCGUUCAACGAUAUUCUCGAAAUUUGUCGUGCGCGAUAGAGAAAAGACGCGACACAUGAUACUGCUGUCGUGUCACUGUUACUGAAGAUCAUGUUUCGUAUCAAAUGAAAGUAAAGAUGAAGUACGGCAAAUUCCGUUAUCGUAUCCUUUUUCCUUAGAAUUUCUAUGGAACGGACAGAUAAGCCGGUCGUGCUAUGAAAUACGAGAAAUUCUUUUCCAACACGAAAAAUUUACCCCGGCGAGAUUACGUGUGCUCUCAUCAUGCUAACGAUUAUGAUUCACUUUUCACUCAAGCCUUACGGUAUAUAAAUUAUGCCAGAUAAAUGGACUUCUAAUCGCGAUAAGAAACACUUCCAUUUCUCGUAAAAAGGAAUUACUUCCGCAGGAAGAGGAAGAGAGAAAGAGAGAGAAUAGAGCUAGCUUUCUCGCAACUGCUUAAAGUGAAUCUAACAAAAUGAUGAAUAUACUUGAUGAACUUGGUAAUCUGUUUUUCUGAGAAUUAGGGAGAAUUGAAUUUGAUCCUCGGAAAAAAACGGGAAGUAUAGGCGUGCUCGUUAACUUACGAUAACAUCGAGAUGACAUCGUACAUAAGCGGAUGAGUAGGGUAAAAAAA